GUCCUGGAAAGGCCGGCGAUACAGGGUGAUAGCCCCGUACACGAAAACGACCUUGAUGUGAAAUCGAGUAGGGCGGGACACGUGACAUCCUGUCUGAAUAUGGGGGGACCAUCCUCCAAGGCUAAAUACUCCUGACUGACCGAUAGUGAACCAGUACCGUGAGGGAAAGGCGAAAAGAACCCCUGUGAGGGGAGUGAAAUAGAACCUGAAACCGUGUACGUACAAGCAGUGGGAGCCCUUCGGGGUGACUGCGUACCUUUUGUAUAAUGGGUCAGCGACUUACAUUUUGUAGCGAGGUUAACCGUAUAGGGGAGCCGUAGGGAAACCGAGUCUUAACUGGGCGUCUAGUUGCAAGGUGUAGACCCGAAACCGGGUGAUCUAGCCAUGGGCAGGUUGAAGGUUGAGUAACAUCAACUGGAGGACCGAACCCACUAACGUUGCAAAGUUAGGGGAUGACCUGUGGCUGGGGGUGAAAGGCCAAUCAAACUCGGAGAUAGCUGGUUCUCCCCGAAAGCUAUUUAGGUAGCGCCUCGGACGAAUACUACUGGGGGUAGAGCACUGUUUGGGCUAGGGGGUCAUCCCGACUUACCAACCCCAUGCA
rnacentral:rRNA from 1 species